UACAGAGGGUGCAAGCGUUGUUCGGAAUUAUUGGGCGUAAAGGGCGCGUAGGCGGUGCUGUAAGUCUGUGGUGAAAUCUCUGGGCUCAACUCAGAGACUGCUUCCGAAACUGCUGUGCUGGAGUGUGGGAGAGGCGCGUGGAAUUGCAGGUGUAGCGGUGAAAUGCGUAGAUAUCUGCAGGAACACCCGUGGCGAAAGCGGCGCGCUGGACCACUACUGACGCUGAGGAACGAAAGCUAGGGGAGCAAACAGG
rnacentral:rRNA from 1 species